rnacentral:lncRNA from 1 species
GCAAACUUGCAAGUGUAUUGUUUAUUCAGUUAUAUGGGCCUUGUUAGAUAUGUAAUGUUGGGCCUAUCUCAGAUGAUGCCUAACCCUAAAACCCAACUGAGACGAUUCUCUAAUGCUGUCGUUUUGGGAGAGCCGAAAGUUUACGCCGUCAGAAAGAAGAAGCUAUCCAGUUUAAUUCGGUUUGGUUCGUAGGCAGGCUGAUUGAUUCUUUUAGGGAACAGACAUCGAGACUGCGGAACCUAACUGAGUUUUGAGAACGAGUCGCGGCCGAGGCUGAGUCAACUCGGUCAACUAAUGGUGAGAUUAAUUGAAAGGUUAACAACUCUGCAAGACGGUAGCAAGCUACUUAUCAAUUUACCUAAUCAAAAACCUUUUUUUUUUUGACCGAACACAAAUACUCGACGGUUUUGUAAUUCGGAUCAUUAUACCUUUCGAGUAACGCAUUUUUUUUUGAAUUAUCGAAAUUUUUAUAAUGUAUAUGUGCAUAAUUUUAGGUUUCACCAUUAGAGAGGCAAUUAGUUGGGAGCAAAAGACUUUGAUCAAAGCUAUUAUGUGCAAGGUCCUCCAAAUUGGUUUGGAAAAAACGUUGGAGAGUACUGAGUAGAUGAACAUGCGUCACAUAAAAACGGUUAGGAUCGUUUUGAGUAUCUCUGGAGGAGAUGUUUUUAAGAAGAAUUUUCUAGUCUUCGACACAUCAAAUAAAGAAGUAAGUGGAUGCUCUUAGUUCUGUGUUUUCAACAUAUAUUUUCGGGUGUUUUAAGUAUGUGUAUCUGGAAUUUUGAUAAAGAGUUUUUAAAACAGAAAGCUUGAUCAUUUUAAAAUAGUAUUAAAGAGUGAUAUUUUUUUAUUAAAAACUGUUACUCGAAUACACAUAUAGUAAGUAAAUACCACCUAAUGUAUAUGAAUAUAUAUGAUGAUAGUAAUUCACCUAUCGGUUCUUUCACAUGAACCAUAUAUGUAGUAGUUUGCCAUACAACUAGUUCUUAAGAAGGAUGUUAUCACAACUUCACAAGAUAGGUGUAAUGAUGUUCGUUCUGGUAGACUUGCUUUUAGUAUAUUCUCCUCAAAUGAGAUACAUUGCAAAUUAGCAUUUGUAUUUAGUGGUUAUUAUUGAUAAUAUUGUAUAAUUGCAUAACGACAUAAAUUGUAUAAUAAAAAUAUGUAGAAUGAAACUUGAAUAAUAAAUUUUGUAUUCAUUG